rnacentral:rRNA from 1 species
CCUACGGGAGGCAGCAGUGAGGAAUAUUGGUCAAUGGACGAGAGUCUGAACCAGCCAAGUAGCGUGAAGGAUGACUGCCCUAUGGGUUGUAAACUUCUUUUAUAUGGGAAUAAAACGUUCCACGUGUGGGAUUUUGUAUGUACCAUAUGAAUAAGGAUCGGCUAACUCCGUGCCAGCAGCCGCGGUAAUACGGAGGAUCCGAGCGUUAUCCGGAUUUAUUGGGUUUAAAGGGAGCGUAGGUGGAUUGUUAAGUCAGUUGUGAAAGUUUGCGGCUCAACCGUAAAAUUGCAGUUGAAACUGGCAGUCUUGAGUACAGUAGAGGUAGGCGGAAUUCGUGGUGUAGCGGUGAAAUGCUUAGAUAUCACGAAGAACUCCGAUUGCGAAGGCAGUUCACUGGACUGCAACUGACAGUGAGGCUCGAAAGUGUGGGUAUCAAACAGGAUUAGAUACCCGAGUAGUC